UGACAGUGAGGUCCUUUUGGAAGCUC
rnacentral:piRNA from 1 species